UCAGUCCUUGUCUUGGGGUGCAGGUUGCCCAAUGAGCGCCUAGCGAGGGUGAUUUUGCUGACACCAAGUAACAACAUUUAAAGCAUCAGCUCAAAUUUCGGUUUGGGUCUACGGUGCAAUUUUUGAACAA